GACGAAUGCUGGCGGCGUGCUUAACACAUGCAAGUCGAACGGAAAGGCCCUGCUUUUGUGGGGUGCUCGAGUGGCGAACGGGUGAGUAACACGUGAGUAACCUGCCCUUGACUUUGGGAUAACUUCAGGAAACUGGGGCUAAUACCGGAUAGGAGCUCCUGCUGCAUGGUGGGGGUUGGAAAGUUUCGGCGGUUGGGGAUGGACUCGCGGCUUAUCAGCUUGUUGGUGGGGUAGUGGCUUACCAAGGCUUUGACGGGUAGCCGGCCUGAGAGGGUGACCGGCCACAUUGGGACUGAGAUACGGCCCAGACUCCUACGGGAGGCAACAGUGGGGAAUAUUACACAGUGGGCGGGAGCCUGAUGCAGCAACGCCGCGUGCGGGAUGACGGCCUUCGGGUUGUAAACCGCUUUCGCCUGUGACGAAGCGUGAGUGACGGUAAUGGGUAAAGAAGCACCGGCUAACUACGUG
rnacentral:rRNA from 1 species